rnacentral:lncRNA from 1 species
AAAUUGCAAAAUCUUUGUAUUUUGGUACCAAGGUAAGUUCAUGUGUAAAUAAUGUAUCAUAAUGGUUAUUUUUAAGUUAUUGAUGUUAAUUAUAUGUUAUGCUGAAUUUUAUUAUGAAAUGUAUGCUUUGUGGUUAAUUUCAAAUAAUAUGUAAAUUAUGUGAACUACUUGUUAAAUAUAAUUGUUACCGAGUAUUGAUUUCGGCAUUCUACGGAAGACGGCAAGGAUAAGUGUUCGAGGAAAAAUCCCGUUUGAACCUUAGGAAUAGAUUAGGAUACAAGUGACAUGUCACUAGGAUGAUUGAGCAUCCGAACUCGUUGAGUUGAGUCCGAGUUCACUUAUGGAUGCGAAUGUCCGAACUCGUUGAGUUGAGUCCGAGUUCGUGAGAUGUAACUAGGCAUCCGAACUCGUUGAGUUGAGUCCGAGUUCACUUAUGGAUGCGAACGCCUGAGCUCGUUGAGUUGAUUCCGAGUUCGCUUAUGGGCGGGUUACAUGAUUGCUUGAUUGCAUAUAUGGCACUUAUGUGCAAGUUAUCCAUGUAUCCGAAUUAUAUUCCGAUGUGUUCAACGGGUAUGUAUUUAACCCUCGGGUUGAGUAUUGAUACAACCACGAUAAGUUUUGGACAAGCCAGCUCAGGAGUCGGGAUAGGUCGAAGGCUCAGUCACACUAUCCGGAAGACUUUUGGUAAUGGCUUGUAAAUUUAAGUAUGGCAUGUAUAGCAAUAUACUUUUUUUUGUGUAAAUGAUCUUAUGGUAUGGUGAUGGAAUGGUUGAGGAAAUGCUUGAUAAUGAUAAAUUAUGAAAAUAUUUAGUUUAGAUUA